CUUAAAUAUUUUUUUAAUGAAGAUAACAGGGUAGGUGUUUGCUCAUAGGUACAUUAUAAAAUUUCAAUAAAAACCAAACUCGAGACUUUUUAAUAAACUCAAACCAAUAAAGAUAUGCCAAAAUUAAAUGUUGAGAUAAGGGUGUGGACCAACUUGAUGGAUGGAGGAUUUAUUGUUGGCUAAUGCGUGCAUGUGGUCCUACUUUCUUGUGGAGAUUGGUCUAUGGGUGUUGUGCUAGACAGAGUUGUAAAUUAUUGUAUUAUAUUGGUGAGAUGUAACUGGUGUUUUUUUUAUUUAUUUAUUUUUUUCUUUUUUGAAGGUAAAUUCCAUUAAUAAGUAUUAGAAACGUUUACAGUAAGGUUCAAUGGAAUGAAAAACCAUUCAUACAGAAACAAAUUUUCUAACUAUGCUAAUAAAAAAUUGAUUCGCAGACUGUGUUACAAACUGGAAGUUGUGAUCCUAAGGAACUUAAGGCUUCUAUCAAGUGUUUGAUGAUUUGGCCAACCACCUGAGUCUUCAUCUUCAUACUGACGUCCAUAAACAAUAUUCCCAACAGAAGGACAAGCUUGGCUAUGGAGAUGGCCGGAGAAGAGGUGGAAGGCAAAGGAAUCUUAGAUUAUUAGAGUUGUGCUUAAGAUAGUGCAAGAGGAGGGGAAAGAAAGAGCCUACGAUGGUGGAUACGGUAGUGGUGGUGGGAGGUUGAGAAAUGGUGGACGACGGUGAGCCGGGAGGAAGGUCGAUGACGAAGUUGACGGAGGUGAAGGGGAAGAGCGAGGUAGCAGACCCCGCCUCUGCCAAAAUAAGCGGAGGCGGUGUCCGAGCGGACUGAAUGAAGAAGGCGGAAGAAGACUCCGAAGAAGAGAGAAGGAGGAGAAAAGGCGCUCACAGCUUAACGAUAACGACUGUAUCAUGGUAGAGAUUGGGCAAAUUACAGUCGAUCAGAGUUUACCGCGAUUUAUAUCAUGGACCAGGGUCUUUAUUAGAGAUCGUGAAUCAAAACAACGUCUUUUGGUGUUUAAGCUUUAACCGAUUCUGUAGCUUUCCGCUUCUCAUGUUUCAACACAAAUUUUAAUUUAUUUAUCCUAGGUAUAGAAUCCUUACUUUGAAAGUACAGAAUAACGUAACAAGAUGUAUAGAAAUGCAUAACACGAGAUACAUACACAUGUUUUCUAUUUUA